CAUCGCGCACGCACUCGCUCUAUGAAUCCCGUCAUUGAUACGUAAAAGCACCGGAAAGGCAUACAAGCACCCAUUCUCGCACGGUCGUCUACCCGGCUCACUUCCCUUCCUCUUCGCACUCACGUCGUUGUACUUUUCAGACGUCUGCGCGUUUUGCGCGUGCUCACUGCUCCAUGUACAACCUACAAGACCACUCGUCGAACCCGUACGGGGACGGGUAUGGCAGCUACGGGGCUUACAGGUCCGCUGCGGCCUCCGGAGGCGCGCCGGCUGCGAGGCCGUAUUAUGACCCCAAUCAAGGCCACGGUGCGCAGGCGAACUACUACGGCGGUGCCGCGCAGCAGGCCGCUCCCGCUGCGCCAUCGUCUUACAGCUAUGACAGUUACGGAUACACGGCCGGCGCCGCCCCGAGCGCUGCUGCGGCACCGGCUUCUGAGUACCCAUACGGCGGCAGCUACGGCAGCGCCGCGACGAGCGCGCAGGCCUCAUCUGCAAACGCGCCAUCUAUCAACUCAUCGGCGUCACCAUCUUCCGCUCCUGCGCCGUCCGUGGCUGGAUACAAUUCUUACGGCUAUCAAGCCGCUACCGCCGCCCCCACGCCAUCCCGGCAGCCGGCACCAUCAGCGCCAGCCUCAGCAUAUCCGCCACCGCGCAGCACCUCAUCCACAGCUGCGGCGGCCAGUGACCCGUACCCAGCCCCUUCCUCCUCAAGGCCGGAACCGUUGGCGCAGCAGCUACCGCCUGAGCCGACUCAGCCGUACAGCGACGCCCUGUUGGGCAGUGGUGUUCGCGGCAACAACCGUCCGCUGCGCGCCUUGGCUCGACAGCCGCCGACGCGCAUUGUGAACGUGCGCUCCGUGCCAAACCCGGAGCGCAGCAUCCCCCGCAACAGUGGUGCACCGAUCGAGUACCUGACAUGCACGAACGAGCCGCCCUACGCUACUGUCGACUUUCUCGGCCUCGACAACGGCAACGCCAACUCGAAGUUCUUUCGCCCGUCCAUGCUGUGUGCGCCGGGCGAGGAGCGACUUGUGAAGGACAGUCACAUCCCCUUCGGUGCCAUUCUCUCACCGCUGUGUCAGCCGCUCCACAACAAGGAGGUGGUGCCGCUGGUGAAGCAGCCAAAGCCGCCUGUGCGCUGCCACCGCUGCCGCGGCUACAUGAGCUGUCACGCCCGACUUCUCGAGAUGGGCCGCAAGUGGGAGUGUCCGCUGUGCGAGGUGACCAACGAUGUCGUCGGCGACGACUUGGACGCCGUUGAUGGAAUGGGGCGUCGGGUAAACGUGGCGGAUCACCCGGAAAUGGGCUUCGGCAGUGUGGAGUUCGACGUCGACGACUUCCCAGAGUACGCGCUGCGCACCGAGGACAAUGUUGUACUGCCCAGUCGGCCGCUGCAUCACCUGUUUCUCAUCGAUAUCUCGCGCGACGCGGGGCAGCGGUUUCUUUCCGACUACGCGGAGGCGAUUCGGGCUGCCCUGCAGCGCAUGGCGGAGCUGACGCCUGAGUGCAAGGUGUCCUUCAUCACAUUCGCCUCGCAGCUGCACUUCUACGACUUCCGCCACCCCGAUAUGCCGCAGAUGUGCGUUCCGGACGUCGAGAACCCGUUUGUGCCACUGCCCUUCACAAGCCUGUGCUGGAUGGAGGUGGGGGCGGAGCUGGAGCGCCUGGAGGCCUUCCUGAGUCGGCUGCCACGUAUGGUUGCCAACGUGGACGAGUCGGACUGUGUGCUCGGCGCUGCGGUGAAGGCGGCAACGCUGGUGUUGGCGGGUCAGCAUGGCGGGCGUGUGAUCAUGUGCGCAAGCCGGCACCCGCAGCGCGGCAUGGGGCAAAUCGUGCUUCGCGAGCAGCACAGGCUCUACGGCACCGAUCGCGAGAAGGAGCUGCUGCGACCCAUCGAAGGUUUCUGGACGACCACGGCAACCGCGGCGGCGAGGCAGCAGAUUUCGUUUGACCUGUUCAUGUUCGCCACGGGGUACUGUGAGCUGGUGACGUUGUCAAACGUGUGCCACGUGACGAACGGUCGCGUCUUUCUCUUUAGCAACUACGAUCCACUGGUCGAUAGCACCAAGGUGAGCGCCUCCAUGCAGCAGCUGCUGACAGAGGAGGCCGGGUACGCUGGCAUCCUACGCGUCCGCUGCAGCACCGGCCUCCAUGUGCAGCGCUACCGGGGCCACUACCUCUCCCAGACGGUGCAGGACAUGGACCUGGCCAGCAUCACGGGCGGCUCAACGUUUUUUGUGGAGUUCGCGCACGAGGACCAUUUGCCGAAGGAUAACUACGCUCAUUUCCAGACCGCGCUGCUGUACACCACUCGCUCUGGCCACCGCCGGGUGCGGGUGCAGUCGUGUCGGCUGCGUGUCGCCUCCUCCUUGACCGUUCUAUUCCGCAACAUGGACCUGGAGGCGAUCCUGUUCGGCUUCAUCCAGGAUAUCAUGGUGGAGGCGGUGAACAAAGGCCCGCAGCAGGCGCGCCAGGGAAUGACGGACCGCCUCAUUAAGGCCUUUUCCUGCUACCGCCAGUACUGCGCUUCGGACAAGUCGGGUGGCGAGUACGAGGACGUCAAGACCGCCGCCCGCGAUAAAAAGAAUACGCUUCUAAUGCCGCCGCGGCUGAAGCUGCUCCCGGUCUAUCUGCUCUGCCUGAUGAAGUCCGACGCGCUGACGGAGGGCACCAUCGUGCACAUUGACCACCGAGUGGCCAGCAUAUUCGACCUCGUGGCGAUGCCGGCGUACAAGCUACUCAGCUACCUAUACCCGUCCCUCUACUGCCUGGACGACUUAGAGAGCGACCCGACGAUCGGCACGCUGGACGUGACGACUGGAAACUGCAUUCUGCCGCAUCAUCGUCAGCUACUCUUCGACAGCGUCGCGCGAGAUGGCACGUACGUGCUAUGUGACGAACAAGCGCGGCUUGUGUACAUGUGGAUUGGCGAAAAUGUGCCGCCGAAGAUCGCGAAUACGCUGUUUGGCACUUCUGAUGCAGCAUCCGUGUGUGCAGCCGGAGGGCCAGGCGAGGAGUGCUUCAGUGAGCGCCUGCGCAACGUCCUGUACGCUCUCAUGCUGCGCGAGGAUGGCAUGCGGCGUCUCAUCGUGAUUCACCACGGCGAGCGCUCUGAGGACGCCUUCUUCAAGGAGCUCAAGGAGGAGAUGGGCACGAGCAAGAUGGGCUACGAUGAGUACCUGACGCAUCUGCACCGUACCAUACAGACGCACGUGUCAUGAGGCUGGUGCACCUGGACCGGGUGAACGGCGCUGGCAUUCCUUCGACGACCGUGGAUGGCGGUGAUGGUGAUGGUAACCAUGUUUUUCGUUUUAGAGGGGGGGGGUAGGUGGAUGGGCUGCCGGUAAGCGAGGGAGAGAGAGGGACACAUCGCAGGAGGCGGAUGAUGGCGGUGAGGGCCAGCCUAAGCCGUCAGCUCGCUAAUGGUGCCAGUGGAUGUGCACGUUGAAUAUACUGCCGUUUUCCUCUCUCUAUACGUUUUUUUUUUUGGGCUUCACUUGAUGUGUGUGCGUGCGUGCGCGCGCUUGUGUGUCAAACCACUCUUCCUCGCCUCCUCUUGUCCUCUCUCCUUCCAGCGGCUUUGCUUGCGACUGGUCGCGUGUACGUGUGUGCGUGUGCUGCUGCCGUCUACCUCCCUUUCCCCCUCCCUCCCUCUCUCCUUUGCCGAGUUUCGUGCACGUGAAGUAUGUGUGUGUGUGUGCGGAGAAGUCCGUGGCGAGUUGUGUGGCGCGUGCAUGUUGAUACGCCGCUGCUGGGCGCGUUAGU
rnacentral:misc_RNA from 1 species